rnacentral:lncRNA from 1 species
UGAAAUCACAUGCCGUGACCCGGAGUUCAAAUCAGAGUGCUUCAGAGAGUGUAUGCGCGAAUGCGAGCAUCCUUCAUCUACAAAUACCUUUCACUCAACUUCGCACUCGCAGUAAAUCUCUUUUAUUUUUUUUAUUUUUAACUUUGUUCUUUGAAUAUAAUAGAUGCAUGCAUGCAUGUGUGUGUGUGUGUGUGUCUAAGUGUCUUGUGUAAUAUAGUGAAAUUGACAUUAUUUAUAUAUAUGGUGAUAAAUAAUGCAGGAUGAAGAAGACUAAAGAGAUGGAAGAAAUGGGAAUCUAGUAUAAAUAGUUUCAGAACUUUUACGUACUUAUGGAUAAUUACGUUUUCUUUUCAUGUUUUCUUCGUCUACAUGUAAACGGAU